UUAAAGAGAGUUUGAUCCUGGCUCAGGACGAACGCUGGCGGCGUGCCUAAUACAUGCAAGUCGAACGAACGGAGGAAGAGCUUGCUCUUCCAAUGUUAGUGGCGGACGGGUGAGUAACACGUGGGCAACCUGCCUGUAAGUUGGGGAUAACUCCGGGAAACCGGGGCUAAUACCGAAUGAUAAAGUGUGGCGCAUGCCACGCUUUUGAAAGAUGGUUUCGGCUAUCGCUUACAGAUGGGCCCGCGGUGCAUUAGCUAGUUGGUAGGGUAAUGGCCUACCAAGGCAACGAUGCAUAGCCGACC
rnacentral:rRNA from 1 species